rfam:Paramecium tetraurelia chromosome undetermined scaffold_18, whole genome shotgun sequence.
AUCGGUAUAGUCUAAGCGGUAAAACAACAGGUUUUCACCCUGUCAUUCCGGGUUCAAAUCCCGGUACCGAUA